GUUAGGGAUUCAGCACUAUAGUAUGUCUUUUCUCCUUUCAUAAUUGAUCGUGUUCUUGGAAAUAUUAUAAUCUAAUCUACUUUUAUUUUUCUUCUACAUCUCAUUAGAAAAAUGAAAAAUCAAUCAAGCAAAACCACUUUUUUGGAUACCACAACUAUUCAAAAUGAUCUGUAUUCCUUAUUCUCUUUUUCUUUGAUACAAGGUGUCAUUUUCACAAAAAUACUCAAUGAAUACUGAUCAUCAUCAAUCCUGCUGUUGUUAGUCUUCCUUCAUUUCAUUUUCCCAAAAAAUAAAACAAAAGGAACCAAAAAUUGUUACUGAGAGAUGGCCUAUGCUGCUCUUGUCUCCCUCACAAACACCAUAGACCGAUUCCUUAACAGCAAUCUAUAUUCCAUCUCUAUUGAAGAAAAACAACAAAUUACAUCUCUCCUCGAGUAUGUUACUCCCUUUCAAGACUUCCUCGACGAAUUUCCAGACAAGUUCAAGAGUUUGGAAGGGCGAAUGAGGGAAGUGCCAAAUGAAGCAGAAGAUAUCUUAGAAUAUCUUGUCUUGAUGAAGAGUCUGAACUCCACGAUGAACUCGACCUGGGCUCUAUGAUCAAGGAUACUAUUUUGAAGCUGGGAAAGAUGUUGAAGGAGUGUGGCGAAGAUAUUCUUCGCCAGAAAGCUGAAGACAACGGUCUGAGUUAGCUAUGUGCAUUUGCCUUGUCUGUUGUGAUGUUUUGGAUUGAAGGAUAAAUUGUUUAGGUUUGAUGCUAUUUGGUUCAUUUAUGGUGAGAUUUGGAUGAUAAACAUUUUUGCUAACGACAAUUUCAAGUCUGAGUUUCUUUCACUUGCAAGUAAGAUUUGGUGUUGGGUCAGAUACUUGGAGAUCAACAUUUGCUGAGACAGCUUUAGGUUUAUGUUGUUUAGCCCCAUAUCUACUAGCUGAUUUGUGUGAUUUGUUCUUGACCAUCUUCACUCUGUGCAUUUGCGAAUCCUAUUGUAAAUUUGUAAUGUAGCAGGGCAAUAGAUUUGGAUCUAGAUUUAAGGGUACAUUGAUGAAUUUUGAUGCAAUUUGCAUCUUCUCCCGCGGUAUUUGGAUAAUGUACAUGUUUGGAUUGGGGUUGCUUUUAUUUGCAAUUGGACUUGAUAUUGGAACAUCGUUAGGUUUAUGUUGUUCGUUCGUACAUCUAUUAGCUGAUUUCCGCAAAUUGUUGUUGGGAAGGCCGGCUUGCAUCCAUAUGGUGUUAAUAAGCUGGUGACAGUUUGAGCCUUUGAGGGUAUAACUCAUGUAGCAUUCAUAUAUCUUAUGUUGUGUGAAUUUAUCAUGGUAUCUUUAAUAUUGCUACCGUUGCCUCUAUCACACUGUAAAAUUUUGGGAUUCUGGACUAGUUUGUGUUUGUUUUAGAAUCCAUGGAGCCUCCUAAUCUCAUUUCUAUUACAUUGCAGGAUCUGCAUGGGAACCUUGAGACAGAACAACUCAAAGACGAGGGACAAAGAGCUGUUUCUUGAAUUAAGAGGGAAAUGAUGAGUUUGUUCGUUGUCGCUGAAACUCUUGACAAUGCAGGGCCAUGUUCCAUUUUAAUGAGGGAUGAUGUUAUCUUGUUUUCUCAUCAAAGGCACAUGAUUAGUUGGUGAAGAUGGUAUGAGUUGUAAAGUUUUUGCGAAUUUUCGUUCCAUCGCCCCCUUCUUCUGUGUCGAUGUAGGUAUGGUGUUCCUUAUAGUUUCUUGAAGUUGUUGUAUUCAAAUUGUUGAUCUUGUAUAUCAAAAUUGGUGAGGAUACAUCUAAACAGCAUUCUUUUUGUCAAUGUAUAUGGGGUUGUAUUUU